GUGCUCUGCAGUCAAACUGAUGGUCUGCCAGUGGUCCAACCUGAUUUUCUGCCUUUGACAGACUGAGAAAAUGACAGUGAUGCUAUUGAGAAAGGAUAUACAAUUCAUGCAACUACCUCUCCUGAAAGGAGGCCAUUCAGAGGAAGUGGCUGCUGUGCCCACAGAAAGGCUGGUAGCCAACAGUCCAAGUGGCAGUGCCAGGCUCGCUCUACACAUUUCUGCCCUGCUGUGUGCAGGAGUGGCAUAGUCUCAGAAAUUUCAGGAAACUGAAGGAUAAAGCUUCUUCAGAGAGUUGAAUUUUAAUGUCACAGAGGCAGCCAGCUGACAGCAAGGUCACAAACAGCCAUUCCAACUUGCCAGGCCAGUUGCCAGCUGCAGCAGAUUUGUCUUUCAUGGGAUUAAUGUUCUACAAUCACUUGUACCCAAAGCAGGUAAUUGAAAAGACUUUUGGGUGUGUGUGGGGUUUUUUUUUAACAGUUAUUUUGGCAACAUGGGUUCCUAUCCUAGUUUUAUCAGGCUUGUAUACUAUAAACAUUUCAUUUUUGUAUACCACAGCCAGGAUUAAGUGAAAGUAAAAUAAGUUUCUAUGGCAUGAAAUCACAAAUGGCCUUUGCUCGAAAAGCUGUGCAAACAUUUCAGCAGAAACGCUUCCAAUGUGGGAAUGGCACAGAAACAAUGCCUGGAUUAAUAUGCUGUGUACCAUUCCUCUUGCCAAAGAAGUUGGGGAAAGGUGACAAAAAGGGUAAACUUGGUCACUUUUCUGGCUAAAGUUCUGACUGAUUCAGGUUAAUAUUCAGGUUAAGAUCUUCAGGCUGCUUUAAAACAACUUCGCCUCAAGAAUGCUGCACAAGUGUACUUUAUUUAGGCAGCAUCCUGUACAAUGAAAGAUAUAUCAGAGAAUCUGGCUGUGUAGGCUGCAUAUUCUAAAAAAUCUUGAUUGCACUGUCUCUUCACUGACCGCUCGAAGUUGAAGCUAGCUUAUGCAAAAUCUUAUUUUAAGUACUUGGGGAAAAAAAUAAAUAUGGUGAAUCAUAUAGUCUUAACAAUUACUGUCAAAGUCUUGUCAUUUUGAAAGAUUAGAGAUGUAAAAUACUUGCUGAAAUUUAAAAAUGAAAAAAUAGAUUGGCAAUAAAGAAAAAGGCAUUUCAAAGUAGGUCCUAUGAAAACAACUAAAAAGAGCACAGUUGCAAGAACAGUAAUUGGCUUUUCUACCUUCUUUCUUUGCUUUGAGGAGGUCCUUAGAGAUUCAAACAUGCACUGACUCAGUCUCAAGGGGAUAUCAGGGAGAAAAGGUGAGUAAUUCCAGGCUAAAGGUAGAAAUUCAUCCUCCAGCUGCAUGGUUUGGAGAGAGGAAGAGAACUGGGAGGACAGAGCAGGUGAAAUACAAGCUGUGGGUUUUACAGUUAAUCUGUCACCUUGAACUCUCUAUUCUCUACUCCAGCAAUAUAUGUGCUCCUGAAAUCCAUGUGCACAGUGUUGUUCAGCUUCAGAAGAGGUGAUCGUUACAGAUAAUAUGCAUAAACCCAUUUAUUAUUUUCCUUCUCUUAUCCAGAUCGCUUUUGAUGCAAUUUUAUUUCUUUUAAAAUUUCUGCAGUUCAUUACAACAUCAAGCCUAAUUCUGCUUUCCUUGAACUGUUGUAGAGUGGAAUUAGUAGCAUAAAAUAAUUUGAGUUCACAGGAAAAACCUGCAGAUGAGAUUAGCUACUAAGAUCAGAGCUAAAAAUGCGUGGAGAGAAGCUUGCACAGACACAAGAUGUAAGUCAAUAAAACAGCCUGACACACACUGUCUGAGGGAGAAUAAAACCAAGGCCGUUUUUGUAUCCCAGCAAACCCUAUCAUGGCAGCAGGAAAAUCCUGAAAAAGCAAACAGGACCAGACACAAGCUAAGUCAAACUGGGAAGCCUCAGGUCACCUUCUCCAGGGGCAGUCAGCCACUGCACUGCACGAUGACAAGCAGCAAGGCUGUCACUCCUCUUGAUGCGGUGCUGAAAACAGCCACUCAUGCAAAAACUGAAUGUCCAAAGAUCAGUCAGUGCGAUGAGGAUUUGAGAGCCUAAAAUUAUUUGGAGAUGUGCCAAGGGGUAUCAGUGCCACUCACAUGAAUGCGUUUGUUAUCCAGUGCUGACAGAUCAGGAAUGCGCAGGGCACAGGACCCAGGGCACUCUGCAUGUCCUGAGAGUGAAUCAAAGCACAGGAGUUGUCGAUAGAACACGGCUUAAUGAUCAAAAUCCAUGUCAGGGAACACCUGAAAUACCUGUGGUCACAUUCCAUUCGUUAUAUAACCACUCAUCAUCACAGCCAGAAAUCAUUUAUAGAGGAGAAGAAGUGAGGAAGGUACUUUUGUAUUUUCUGUCAAGACAAAGAUGUUUCACAGAAGGGAAUAAGAAUUUGAGGACUUGAUCCUAUUUCCUGUGUCAGUGUUGCCUCUGAGGAACUGCCAAGUUUUCACUGAGAUGGUGGACAAGCUCUGCCAAAGGCUGACCCUUCUUUGAUUCCUAUGAACAUUUAAUUUAAUAUUUAAUUUAAAUGUAACAUUCCAAAUAACAAACAUUUUUGGUACCAAACUGAUGUUGUGAAGACUGAAAGAGGUACAGCUGGGGCAGAAAAUGCAAUGUUAUCUUAUAAUAUGUUAAUAAUAAUAAUAUGUUAACAAUAUGUUAAUAAUAAUAUGCUAUGUUGUCUUUUCUCCUGAUUUCCUACCCCAGUCUGGUGUGUUACAUUUUCUGGUUUUUCAUCUGUACAUGCAACAGAUCUGUUGUUAUGAUGGAGGCAGGCAAGAUGUCUUGACAGAGCAUUUCUGAUUUUUCUCUACUUUUCUGAUUGGAUUUUUUAAGGCUUUUUUUUUUUAAUGAUAAUGUGUCUUUUAAAUAAUUAUGUUACAAGUGAUAAUUAUAAAAGGAAAGUUCUUAAAUUUCAUGAAGUAACAGCAGUUUGACCUUAAUUUGCAAUUUUUCUUCUUUUGUUAUGAGUGAUCUGUAAUGAAAAUUGGAAAUAAUAAUCUCAUUUUCCCAGAGUAUUUGAUUUAUGAAAGUAGAUCUGACUCAUAGUUUAUGGUGUGUGAUAAAUUAUUUAUUCAGCUUUCUAUUUACCUUGGAUGUUUCAUUGCAUUUUCAUAAACCCCUGUGUACUGAUUCUCCUGGCUAUAAUUGGUUCCUUCACUUUUUAAUGAUCCAAAAUUAGUUGCAUAGAUCUAAAAUGGAUCUAAAAGAGCUCUUCAUUGCUUUUAUCUUUGCACACCCUCAGAUAUGAUAUCUCAAUCUAUUAAAAUGGUAAUUCAGUUUUUUGAUUAAACACAGAUGGAACGCUAUACUGGGAAAUGGAAGAUGAUAAAAUGUGGAAUAAAUUGAUAAACCCCUCUGUAAGGUGGGGCACUGGGGUUCUCUGUGGACGGUGCUCAUUCACUCAUUUUCAGCCAGAUUUGGUGCUUUGCAGUGACAGUACUGGUGAAUAUUUCUCGAGUUACUGAAAAUUAAACUGCAGUGAAAGGAGUCCUUAAUAGGGCUCUGCUCAUAAGAAUAUUGAAUUUGUGUUAAAAGGAGGAAUGAAUCUAUAUUAGGAGAAAAUUAUGUGAACUAGCUACAAGCUGAAACUUCAAAUGUGUUUGCUAAAUUACUUCUCAAACUUGGCAAGAAAAAUUCUAGCUCUUCAUUUUAACUUCUUUUACAAGGAAUCCUCAGGAAUAUACAUAAAAUAUUUGAAAUAUAAGAUCUUUACUUUUUAAACACUUUAGAUCUUUAAAUUGCAAUAAACUGAAAUAGUAGAAAAGGAUUUCAUUUUUGUGUAAAAUGAACAAGAGAAGAAAACACUUUUAGUUGCAAAUGUAACAUUUAUAAUUAUAAAAUGUCUUUAAAUUGGAAGACAAUCAUUAUAUGUCCAUGUUGAGAUAUCCCAACAACUAAUUUGACUAAAAUACUGACUAUCAAGUUUUUUCUCAUAAUCAUGCCACAUACACAUGCUUCUAAAAUGAAUUUCAACAGUUCAACACGAACAUUUUUGAUGAUAAUCUUCACAGUUCCUUAAAACUGUGAAACACUGAAAAUCAAAGUUUCAAUACACUGAAUUUCCUUGUCAUACACUAAUUAUUAGGUUCUGAUUAACUAUAGUAUCAAGACAACAUUCCUAUGCAAGUGUAUAUUAUAUUAAAGUUGAUCAUAAGGUAGGAAAGCCUUUUGUUUGUAAUUAGGUAGGGCAGCCUGCUAAUAUUUUAGGAAAAAAACCCUAUGUUCAGGAACCAGCUGCUGUGGACUCCUGUGCGUGUUCUGGACAUUUGCUGCAGUUCCCACUGCUCUGGGAACCCACCAAGGAUCUGGGAUUGGACACAACAGUGGGAUCAGACAUUCCAGAAGGUUCUGCUUCCUGCCUUGUUGCAGAGCCCACACCAGGAGCAGAGGCUGGUGAUGCUGGAGGAGUUGAAAUACACACAGAGUGAUGCAAAGUUCUAAGACAGAUCUACAUCCAUUAUCUACGGUGAGUUAUAAACCUCAUUUCAGCUCCACUGGGACUUUGUGACUGAAAUUCAAAUGAUGAAAAAUACAGCUUUUCAGAUGGAAUGCCUACUGAACCUGCUGGAGGAGCCAAGUUUACUUUUGCAUCAUUUAUGCAUUUCAAAAUGCAGAAUAUAUCUGCAAAUGAUAAUCUCAAAAGACAGGAGGGGUUUUUUUUGGUUAAUUUUAUUUUUAAUUAAAAAGUAUAUACUUGCCAUUACAGCUGGGAGAAUAUGGCCUUUGAAUUAUGAAUGUCAAGCCAGAAAAGACAACUAAUUACAUUAACCUAAGAUAUUUAUAAAUAUAUUUAAAUCAAGAAAUAAAUAAAAUCAUGCUUUCCUUUACUGAAUCAAGAUUAAAGAGUGCUGUGUCUCAGCUAAGACAUCAAAGCCUUGAAAGAUUUUAGAGAAGAAAUGGUUGCUAAUUCUUAUUGAAAGCAAAAGUAUUCCUAAGGGAGACUAUUCUAAACCAUAUGUCUUUGACAUAAACUGGCAAUAAAAGAGAAAACUGCUGCUGAGAAUUUGUGUGAGAAAUGCAGCUGAAACGUUCCUUCCUUUUCAGGCAAUUUGACCUCGUUGGAGAUAUUACACAUCCUUAUUUUGAGGUUCAUAUAAUUUGUUGAAUUGAGCUUGGCACCAUUCAUAGCCUUAGAAGAAAUGGAAUACAUUUGGAAGUAAGCAAUAACAAUAAGAUUAUAGCAUUACUGACUGGAGUGGAACCAUCAGCAGAGUUCACUUGGAGUUUAUUUGGCACCUAUCGAAAUGCAGGAAAUGAGAAUUGUGGG